rnacentral:rRNA from 1 species
GAUGAACGCUGGCGGCGUGCCUAAUACAUGCAAGUCGAGCGAACAGACGAGGAGCUUGCUUCUCUGAUGUUAGCGGCGGACGGGUGAGUAACACGUGGAUAACCUACCUAUAAGACUGGGAUAACUUCGGGAAACCGUAGCUAAUACCGGAUAAUAUUUUGAACCGCAUGGUUCAAUAGUGAAAGACGGUCUUGCUGUCACUUAUAGAUGGAUCCGCGCUGCAUUAGCUAGUUGGUAAGGUAACGGCUUACCAAGGCAACGAUGCAUAGCCGACCUGAGAGGGUGAUCGGCAACACUGGAACUGAGACACGGUCAAGACUCCUAGGGAAGGAAGCAGUAGGGAAUCUUCGGCAAUGGGCGAAGGCCUGACGGAGCAACGCGGGGUGGGUAAUGAAGGUCUUCGGAUCGUAAAACCCUGUUAUUAGGGAAAAAAAAAGGUGAAAGUAACUAGGAAAGUCUGAACGGAACCUAACAAGAAGGCAACGGCUAACUACGU